CACGUAGGGGGCAAGCGUUGUCCGGAUUUAUUGGGCGUAAAGAGCUCGUAGGUGGUUCGAUAAGUCGAGUGUGAAAACUCCAGGCUCAACCUGGAGACGCCACCCGAUACUGUCGUGACUAGAGUCCAGUAGGGGAGCGUGGAAUUCCUGGUGUAGCGGUGAAAUGCGCAGAUAUCAGGAGGAACACCGAUGGCGAAGGCAGAUCUCUGGGCCGUAACUGACGCUGAGGAGCGAAAGCAUGGGGAGCGAACAGG
rnacentral:rRNA from 1 species